rnacentral:rRNA from 1 species
UACGUAGGUGGCAAGCGUUGUCCGGAUUUACUGGGCGUAAAGAGCGCGCAGGCGGCCGAGUAAGUCGAAUGUGAAAGCCCCCGGCUCAACUGGGGAAGGUCAUUCGAUACUGUUCGGCUUGAAGAUAGGAGAGGGAAGCGGAAUUUCAGGUGUAGUGGUGAAAUGCGUAGAUAUCUGAAGGAACACCAGUGGCGAAGGCGGCUUUCUGGGACGGUACUGACGCUGAGACGCGAAAGCGUGGGGAGCAAACAGG